UAUUGGUCAAUGGGCUUACGCCUGAACCAGCCAAGUCGCGUGAGGGAAGACUGCCCUAUGGGUUGUAAACCUCUUUUGUCAGGGAGCAACGCCGGCUACGUGUAGCCGGACUGAGAGUACCUGAAGAAAAAGCAUCGGCUAACUCCGUGCCAGCAGCCGCGGUAAUACGGAGGAUGCGAGCGUUAUCCGGAUUUAUUGGGUUUAAAGGGUGCGCAGGCGGGAGAUCAAGUCAGCGGUAAAAUGUCGGGGCUCAACCCCGGCCGGCCGUUGAAACUGGUUUUCUAGAGUUGGAGAGAAGUAUGCGGAAUUCGUGGUGUAGCGGUGAAAUGCAUAGAUAUCACGAAGAACUCCGAUUGCGAAGGCAGCAUACCGGCUCCAUACUGACGCUGAGGCACGAAAGCGUGGGGAUCG
rnacentral:rRNA from 1 species